ensembl:lncRNA
AAUCCUCAAAUGCAACCAUUUACAUUCCCUUUCAAGGUCCGACAACAAAGGAAUGCUACACUAAGGCGGCUCGAGGGAGUUCAACGCGGGAUUCACAAAGCGAUUUCUGUUGAAAGAUGGAUCAGUAUCCUGUUUAUUUGGACCAGCUGCUCCACUGAAUCACAACCCGUCUCGCUUAGGGGAACAUCUAUUCCUAUCACAAUGCUGCCCACACACAUCUCUCUGACAGCCGACGGGAGGGGGAGAGCGAGUAGGAGAGAGGGGGAAGAGAUGGAAAAUAGAGAGAGAAACACAGAACAAGCAAUCGUUCGGGCCUUAAUGGUGCACUAGCCUGAGCUUGAGGUUAGCAUGCGAAGCCCCUGCUGCCCAUGAGGUCCAAACAAGGAGUUCUCCUCUUAUCUUCUUCCCUCAUCCUUUGCCCAUGUGACCACGCCUGCUCUGAGAGCGACUGCAGCCUCACUGCCAGAGGAUUCCACCAGAAUAUGAAUGAGAAACCAGAGAGAACCAGGGCAGCAGAAUAGGAGGACAGUGCAGAAACAAACACACUUACAGAUAUUGAUGUGUCACAUUGAUUCCAUGUUUCCAUGACAAAUACUGGGGUUGAAAUCAGGAAUAAUCCUUAUUUUAAACAGAGAUGCUUCAACAGCCUAAUAGCCUGUGUAUUUGAUGGUGUUGUGCAUUCUAUUUCCACGAUAGUUUAAUAUUGACCAUCUGAUCAAUAAUAAAGAUUGCAUUAAUAUGGCGAGUCCUAUCUGAAAUUGAUAUAUGCACAGAAAGUGACCUCAGAUAUCUAUUAAAAAUAUUCAAAGCCCAAAAAUGACAUGAUGAACAAGAAGUAUAUUGAUUUCUGAAGAGAGAAAUAAACCAUGUUUGUGCCUUAGAAGGGCCACAGUAUCCUCAAUUGAGCCACAUAGAGUUGAAAUACCACUGACAUAGUACAGCAGCCACAUAGGAGGUCGCAUCCGGUUUCUGGUUGCUCUAGGUUUGGCGUAUCACUCGCCUUUAGUGUAAACGGUAGUAAACCGUGUAUUAAAACAGUAAUUAACUUUAUACUAUAGUCACGAAGCGAUACUUUAUCUCAGCUCAGGUACACUCACAUGCGCAUGCACGCGUUAAACACACCCUUUAUUGCUGUCAUGGACUUUACGGUGACUUCAGUCACUUUUAUAAUGAGGUAAAUACAAUGUGACAAACUUUAAAACUAAUCCUCACAUAAAGUUUU